AAAUUAUUUCGACAUUCUUUUCUUGCUAACUUUCUGUUUCUGUUUUUUCGAUUUCAGAAAGUUUAAUGAUUUUUAUUGUUUAUUACAGUAAUACAGAGUAAAUAUCAUAACUCUUGUGUGAUUUUGAAGGUAAUUGCCUUAGAUGGAUCAAUCAUCUAGUAAUUGCACUGAGUAUUUAAUUGUGUUGCUAUAAUAGUUCAAUCAUCCAACAAUUUCAACAAGGUCUUUAGAUGUUCUAGGAAUUUUUUAUUUUAGAAUUUUUUGCAAACUUAUGUAUGGUAACUCUUGAAUUUAUCAAAUAAUAUUCUCUUUUUUGCUUUAUACUCUAUGAAUAGUACUAGUUGGAUAAUUUGAUUUGUGACUUUGUUAUUUAAUAGUUCCUUUAGUGAUUUGUAUCAAUUUCAGUAUAAUAUAUUGUACUUAACCGUUCUUAUAGAUUUAUUGCAAUGGUUUUACUACCUAUUGCAACAGAUUGUGACCCGUUUGCAAUAGACCAAUUUUCUAGUAGUGCCCUUGGAAUUGUAAAGCAUUGUCCGUAAAAGUGAGGUCCCCAUUUGCGAAUGCUGGCUCGCAUUUGCACCGACACGUUUUGGCAAUUGCGAGCUAAGUGGUCGUAUUUGCAAUGUCCAGUUCGCAAAUACGACAUCUGCAACUGGGUAAAAGGUUAGCUUAUUUUCUUCAUGUAGACUUCAUGUAGAGCCAACCUUUGAAGAGAUUUUUAUCCCAACAUUAUAGGUUAGUAGCUUUAACUUGUUUUGGCUAAUUUUCUCAUUCCUAAAUCUAAGUUGUCAUAUAGUAGAAAUAGAGUUUUUGGGUAGAAAAUUUAUGAUUUUGUAUUUAAAAGAGAUUUAGACCUCGAUUUGAGGUUGGAUCUUGAAAUGAAUCGCAUAUUUGGAUUUAUGGGAGAAUGAGUUAUCGAGAUUUGGUCUUAAUUUUGGAUUUCGACCAAGUGGGCCAGAGUUAACUUUUUGUUGACUUUUUCAAAUAUAUUAAUGAUCGAACCUUUUUUAUACUAGAGUUGUUUGUAAAGCCUGUUUUGACUCAUUUGAACAUUAUUUGACUAGAUUCAAGUUGAUUGGAAGCUUGUGCUAAAGGCAAAGCUUUGUUGGAUUGUUGAUUUGGCUUAGGAAGAGGUAAGUAUCUUGGUUAACCUUGAUUUGAGAAAAUUAGGAUAUUAUUGAAUCUACUUUCUAUAUGAAUUGUGUGGGGGACGAUGCAUAUACAAGGUGACAAGUGUAUAUAUGUUGUCAUGGGUCAAAGCAUGCAGGUAAAACUAGUUUAUCUUGUGUUUUAUUUAUUACAUGCUCUUACAUGUUCCGUGCCUAUAUUUAUAAUAUGUUUUACUUGUUCCAUGUCUUUAUUUUUUACAUGCCUUGCUCGUCAUAUGUUUUACUUGUUACAUGCUUAUACUUGUUUAUGCUUUUACUUAAUAAAUGUAUUUACUAGAACAUGUCUAUGCUUGUUUUAUGCUUUAUUUUCCUAUGCUAUGUUGGGGAUUGUGCGAUUAUUUGAUUGUUGUGUGUUAGUAACCUUAUUUGGAUCCUUAUUACGUUAUAUGAGUAAGAUUAACUCUAAAACUUGGGAUUUGACAUUACUUUUUGUUCGUGCCCAUUCUUUUCUUAGUAAAUUAUGCUUAUUUAUUCUCUUUGAUAGUUAUUAUGGAUAUUUCUUUAUAUGGAUGUGUUGAUUGAUGGUUCAACGUGAGUUGAUAUUUUGGAUCGGGUUUCCGCUGCAACAAUGUUAUGAUAAGGAUCAGGUUGCUCGCCGCAAGAAUAGUAUGUCCAUGGGAUCGGGUUGCAGUCGCAAUGAUGCUUAUGUAUGUGUUGGAUCGGGUUGUGCGCCACAAGAUUGUGGGAAUGGGUCUUAGCAUCGUUCAGAGGGGUGCAUAAUUUGGACAUCAGGGAGACUUGAGGCAGUGCUGGUUUCUCGUCCGUAGACUCUAGAGUCACCUCCAUUUUCACUAUUACUAUUUUUCCUUGUAUUAGAUAAUAUUACAUUUCAUUUCAGACUAUGUUUGUAGCACUCUUAGUAGCUCAUGUACUUGUGACAACAAAUCUUGGGAUGGUUGAUUAGCCAACAUUGGGUUUAGACUUAUUAUGUAUGUUUCUGAGUUUAAUUUUAUUCUAUAUUAUCUUUA